UACAGUCUUUUCCUCCCCACGGCUUCUCUUUCCUCCCCGUCUCAGGCACUGGGCAUUUCCAGUCGAUCCAGCAGGUCUGGCUUCUCUCACAUAUGCAGUAAGGGUUAGGGGAGAAGGUCCCAGCUCCUCUUGUCUCUAGCAGAGUGUAAACUGGCUCUGCUGAGGAGGUGGCUGUGCUUUUAUUCCUUCUCCUGAGAACUGUUUAUAUAUUAAGGAGCUUCACAGCCUCCAACAUAAGGAAAGCAGGCCUCAAACUUCUUCAUGGGAAAAGAUGGCUUCUCUUUUUUAAUUGAAUGAACUAGAAGAAGUUCAUUGUUAUUCAUCAACUUCAAAGAGACUAUAUGAGGCCCCUUGGCCAGGACUACAGAGCAGUAUUUUUUAAUCAGAAAUUAUAGCCAAAAAGAAGAGACCAGAACACAUGGAAUUGAAAGAAACUACUUUAAAUUUCAUAUGGAACCAAAAAAAGCCCAUAUAGCCAAGAUGAUCCUAAGCAAAAAGAGCAAAGCUGGAGGCAUCAUGCUACCUGGCUUCAAACUAUACUACAAGGCUACAGUAACAAAAACAGCAUGGCACUGGUACUAAAACAGAUAUAUAGACCAAUGGAACAGAACAGAGGCCUCAGAAAUAACGCCACACAUCUACAACCAUCUGAUCUUUGACAAACCUGACAAAAACAAGCAAUGAGGAAAGGAUUCCCUAUUUAAUAAAUGGCGUUGGGAAAACUGGCUAGCCAUAUGCAGAAAACUGAAACUGGACCCCUUCCUGAUACCUUAAACAAAAAUUAAUUCAAGGUAGAUUAAGGACUUAAACAUAAGACCUAAAACCAUAAAAACCCUAGAAGAAAAGCUAGGCAAUACCAUUCAGGACACAGGCAUGGGCAAAGACUUCAUGACUAAAACACCAAAAGCAAUGGCAACAAAAGCCAAAAUAGACAAAUGGGAUCUAAUUAAACUAAAGAGCUUCUGCACAGCAAAAGAAACUAUCAUCAGAGUGAACAGGCAAUCUACAGAAUGGGAGAAAAUUUUUGCAAUCUAUCCAUCUGACAAAGGGCUAAUAUCCAGAAUCUACAAGGAACUUAAACAAAUGUACAAGAAAAAAACAACCUCAACAAAAAGUGGGCAAAGGAUAUGAACAGACACUUCUCAAAAGAAGACAUUUAUGUGGUCAACAAACAUAUGAAAAAAAAGCUCAUCAUCACUGGUCAUUAUAGAAAUGCAAAUCAAAAACACAUGAUUAAAUCAUGAUCAUUAAAAAGUCAGGAAACAACAGAUGCUGGAAAGGAUGUGGAGAAAAUAGGAAUGCUUUUACACUGUUGGUGGGAGUGUAAAUUAGUUCAUCUAUUGUGGAAGACCGUGUGGCGAUUCCUCAAGGAUCUAGAACCAGAAAUACCAUUUGACCCAGCAAUCCCAUUAGUGGGUAUAUACUCAAAGGAUUAUAAAUCAUUCUACUCUAAAGACAUAUGCACAUGUAUGUUUACUGCAGCACUAUUCACAAUAGCAAAGACUUGGAACCAACCCAAAUGCCUAUCAAUGAUAGACUGGAUAAAGAAAAUGUGGCACAUAUACACUAUGGAAUA
rnacentral:lncRNA from 1 species